rnacentral:rRNA from 1 species
UUCUUCUGAUUUUAGCGGCGGACGGGUGAGUAACACGUGGGCAACCUACCUUGUAGAUUGGGAUAACUCCGGGAAACCGGGGCUAAUACCGAAUAAUCCAUUUUGCUUCAUGGCAAGAUGUUGAAAGGCGGCUUCGGCUGUCACUACGAGAUGGGCCCGCGGCGUAUUAGCUAGUUGGUAGGGUAAUGGCCUACCAAGGCGACGAUACGUAGCCGACCUGAGAGGGUGAUCGGCCACACUGGGACUGAGACACGGCCCAGACUCCUACGGGAGGCAGCAGUAGGGAAUCUUCCACAAUGGACGUCAAAUCAUCAUGCCCCUUAUGACCUGGGCUACACACGUGCUACAAUGGACGAUACAAAGGGCUGCAAACCCGCGAGGGGGAGCCAAUCCCAUAAAAUCGUUCUCAGUUCGGAUUGUAGGCUGCAACUCGCCUACAUGAAGCCGGAAUCGCUAGUAAUCGUGGAUCAGCAUGCCACGGUGAAUACGUUCCCGGGCCUUGUACACACCGCCCGUCACACCACGAGAGUUUGUAACACCCGAAGUCGGUGAGG